UACGAGGGGAGCUAGCGUUGUUCGGAAUCACUGGGCGUAAAGCGCACGUAGGCGGAUGUGUCAGUCAGGGGUGAAAUCCCGGAGCUCAACUUCGGAACUGCCCUUGAUACAGCACGUCUUGAGUCCGGAAGAGGUGGGUGGAAUUCCUAGUGUAGAGGUGAAAUUCGUAGAUAUUAGAAAGAACACCGGUGGCGAAGGCGGCCCACUGGUCCGGUACUGACGCUGAGGUGCGAAAGCGUGGGGAGCAAACAGG
rnacentral:rRNA from 1 species